CUUAAUUUGACUCAACACGGGGAAACUUACCAGGUCCAGACAUAGUAAGGAUUGACAGACUGAGAGCUCUUUCUUUUUUUAAAAUGUAAAUGAUAUAAAAUCAGAAAUG
rnacentral:ncRNA from 1 species